rnacentral:rRNA from 1 species
GUCGAACGGUAACAGGAAGCAGCUUGCUGCUUUGCUGACGAGUGGCGGACGGGUGAGUAAUGUCUGGGAAACUGCCUGAUGGAGGGGGAUAACUACUGGAAACGGUAGCUAAUACCGCAUAACGUCGCAAGACCAAAGAGGGGGACCUUAGGGCCUCUUGCCAUCGGAUGUGCCCAGAUGGGAUUAGCUAGUAGGUGGGGUAACGGCUCACCUAGGCGACGAUCCCUAGCUGGUCUGAGAGGAUGACCAGCCACACUGGAACUGAGACACGGUCCAGACUCCUACGGGAGGCAGCAGUGGGGAAUAUUGCACAAUGGGCGCAAGCCUGAUGCAGCCAUGCCGCGUGUAUGAAGAAGGCCUUCGGGUUGUAAAGUACUUUCAGCGGGGAGGAAGGGAGUAAAGUUAAUACCUUUGCUCAUUGACGUUACCCGCAGAAGAAGCACCGGCUAACUCCGUGCCAGCAGCCGCGGUAAUACGGAGGGUGCAAGCGUUAAUCGGAAUUACUGGGCGUAAAGCGCACGCAGGCGGUUUGUUAAGUCAGAUGUGAAAUCCCCGGGCUCAACCUGGGAACUGCAUCUGAUACUGGCAAGCUUGAGUCUCGUAGAGGGGGGUAGAAUUCCAGGUGUAGCGGUGAAAUGCGUAGAGAUCUGGAGGAAUACCGGUGGCGAAGGCGGCCCCCUGGACGAAGACUGACGCUCAGGUGCGAAAGCGUGCGGAGCAAACAGGAUUAGAUACCCUGGUAGUCCACGCCAUAAACGAUGUCUACUUGGAGGUUGUGCCCUUGAGGCGUGGCUUCCGGAGCUAACGCGUUAAUUCGACCGCCUGGGGAGUACGGCCGCAUCGUUAAAACUCAAAUGAUUUGACAGGGGCCCGCACAAGCGGUGUAGCAGCUGGUUAAUUCGAUACAGCGGGAGAACCUUACCUUGUCU